rnacentral:rRNA from 1 species
GUGGGGAAUAUUGCACAAUGGAGGAAACUCUGAUGCAGCGACGCCGCGUGAGCGAAGAAGUAUUUCGGUAUGUAAAGCUCUAUCAGCAGGGAAGAUAAUGACGGUACCUGACUAAGAAGCUCCGGCUAAAUACGUGCCAGCAGCCGCGGUAAUACGUAUGGAGCAAGCGUUAUCCGGAUUUACUGGGUGUAAAGGGAGCGUAGGCGGCAGGAUAAGUCUGAUGUUAAAGCCCGGGGCUCAACCCCGGUAUGUCAUUGGAAACUAUUCUGCUAGAGUGUCGGAGGGGUAAGUGGAAUUCCUAGUGUAGCGGUGAAAUGCGUAGAUAUUAGGAGGAACACCAGUGGCGAAGGCGGCUUACUGGACGACAACUGACGCUGAGGCUCGAAAGCGUGGGGAGCAAACAGGAUUAGAUACCCUAGUAGUCC